GGAGUUAGCCGGUGCUUCUUCUGUGAGUGAUGUCCUUCCUGCCGGCUAUUAACCCGCAGGCCUUCUUCCUCACUGAAAGUGCUUUACAACCCGAAGGCCUUCUUCACACACGCGGCAUGGCUGGAUCAGGGUUGCCCCCAUUGUCCAAUAUUCCCCACUGCUGCCUCCCGUAGGAGUCUGGGCCGUGUCUCAGUCCCAGUGUGGCUGAUCAUCCUCUCAGACCAGCUACGGAUCGUCGCCUUGGUGAGCCGUUACCUCACCAACCAGCUAAUCCGACAUAGGCUCAUCCGAUAGCGCGAGGCCCGAAGGUCCCCCGCUUUCCCCCGUAGGGCGUAUGCCGGUAUUAGCCUGGGUUUCCCCAGGUUAUCCCCCACUACCGGGCAGAUUCCUAUGCAUUACUCACCCGUCCGCCGCUCGCCACCAGGGAGCAAGCUCCCCGUGCUGCCGCUCGACUUGCAUGUGUUAGGCCUGCCGCCAGCGUUCAAUCUGAACCAAGAUCAAAUUCUGA
rnacentral:rRNA from 1 species